CCUUCCUACAGGAGGACACACCAGGGAGCCUUCCCUCCUCAUGCUUGCUCCUAAGUCAGGACAGGGCCCCUGGUCAUGGGCAGCAGCCAAGAAGCUGGUGCCCAGCAUGGAGACAAAGAGCUCCAGCAACCUUCUUGAAACUGUAAGACAAAUUGGAGAAAGGACGCCAGUGCUACGGGUGAUGGAACCCAGCAGUGCAUGAGCCUCCUGCCUUGUUGGAAUCACUUCCUGCCCGAGAACAGUACAAUUGCGAGAACAGAACCCUUGAGGUGUUUGAGAGCAAGUGAGCUUGGCUCCCUUGGGAGCCACAGAUAUUUAAUAAAUGUUGCUUUAUGUCCAGCUG
rnacentral:lncRNA from 1 species